UACAGAGGUCUCAAGCGUUUGUUCGGAUUCAUUGGGCGUAAAGGGUGCGUAGGCGGCGCGGUAAGUCGGGUGUGAAAUCUCGGAGCUUAACUCCGAAACUGCAUUCGAUACUGCCGUGCUUGAGGACUGGAGAGGAGACUGGAAUUUACGGUGUAGCGGUGAAAUGCGUAGAUAUCAGGAGGAACACCGGUGGUGUAAACGGCUUUCUGGACCAUAACUGACACUGAGGCACGAAAGCGUGGGUAGCAAACAGG
rnacentral:rRNA from 1 species